GAUGAACGCUGGCGGCGUGCCUAAUACAUGCAAGUCGAGCGAACGGACGAGAAGCUUGCUUCUCUGAUGUUAGCGGCGGACGGGUGAGUAACACGUGGAUAACCUACCUAUAAGACUGGGAUAACUUCAGGAAACCGGAGCUAAUACCGGAUAAUAUUUUGAACCGCAUGGUUCAAAAGUGAAAGACGGUCUUGCUGUCACUUAUAGAUGGAUCCGCGCUGCAUUAGCUAGUUGGUAAGGUAACGGCUUACCAAGGCAACGAUGCAUAGCCGACCUGAGAGGGUGAUCGGCCACACUGGAACUGAGACACGGUCCAGACUCCUACGGGAGGCAGCAGUAGGGAAUCUUCCGCAAUGGGCGAAAGCCUGACGGAGCAACGCCGCGUGAGUGAUGAAGGUCUUCGGAUCGUAAAACUCUGUUAUUAGGGAAGAACAUAUGUGUAAGUAACUGUGCACAUCUUGACGGUACCUAAUCAGAAAGCCACGGCUAACUACGU
rnacentral:rRNA from 1 species